CAAGUUUCAAGCUGGGCUUUGGCCUGGUUCAAGUCCCACCUGAGUUAUACAGUUCCAAUACCAAGAGUUGAAGUAAAUGGUAAGAGAUGACUGUUUAUUACUAUCCUGAAUGUAAGGCAUGAUGAGUGGAAUUUUAAGAGUCUUUAUUUAAAAAAAAAUUUUUUAUAAACAAAUGUAAAACUCAUCAAUCCAUUAACUAAAAGCUUUGCUGCCCCAAACAUGGCAAUUUCUCAAACAUGAAAUCAGUGAUUUGCAACGUAAAUAAAGCAAUCAGAGUGAUGAAAAUAGAAAGCUUCCAGCAAAAUCAACUUCUGAGAACUGCUGCCAAAGGGAGAAUAACAAGCAUUUUCAAGCUAAAAUUUGGGCUGAAAAUGAGCUGUGAAUAAGCUGCAAAUGAUCACCUCUCUCUGAAACCCAGUGGUUAAUUAUGCUGUUUCACAGCAAGGUAUGUACAGAUACAUCCCAGAUAAAAGAAAUAAAUGUACAUUCAGAGAGAAUUCAAACCACAAUUCCUUUGAUGAUGUAUCACUCAUUUGUUUUUCUUGAGCACAGACCAGGUUGCAAAUAUACACUGACUUCCUUCAGUAGAAGUUGUGAAAUUGCUGGAAAAUGGCUGAGGAUCUUUGACCUGUCUCUUCAAAGGACCAGUUCCCAAGUCUCUCCUUUCAACACUCCCUGCUUGCUGCUAUUUAAGCUACCACCUGGAAGCAUAUUCAGCAUGUGGGACCAGCCCUAAAACUUGCUGGAGUUCUUGUUUCUUCCUUGGUCUGUGUGAGUAGCAAAGACAUGUAAGAUCCUACAUGUGCAGGUUCUGGGGGCUGCUGCACAGCUCUACAUGGAAGCUCUAUUCUCUGUACUCAAAAUAUGACUUAUGAUUUAAUUUUCAUAUAAACACAUCUAUUCACAAUCCUAGGCAGAGAGAAUAGAACUUUUUAAACAAUUAAAAUGAGCAUAGUAGCUCAUGUUGAAGUGAAGCAGGAUCCUAUGGUUCUCCUGGAUACAAAUCCUUUCUGUGCCCCCUGUUUCUUUUUGUAGGAAAUAGGUUUAAUUCAGCCUCCUUGACUUUCUCUGAGUUUCAGACAGGGAAGAGAGCAGAUGCAGAAGUAAAGGAGGAGUAGUAAGAAAAGUUUAAAAAUAGUGUGACCUUGGGGUAGAGUCCUGGUUCCUCCUCAAGGGGUAUACAUAACAAUAUCUUUGAGCAGAAUUAAAACCCCCACCAAAAUGGAAGAUGCUAACCACUUGGUGACAUAUUCUUUAUUCCAUAGACAAGGCCACCAUUCAGUAACCUUGAGAACCAUUAAACCCGUCACAAGACCACCUGAUGCCAGAUGAUUGAAGGAAUGAAGGCCCUGCAUGCACCCUGAUCCUUAUCAGCACCUCUGCCUCUUGACUACAAGACUCCUCACAAUCCACUUAUUCCACCCCCGGUUGGGACAUACAGUUUUGAGGGCAUUAGCCUGCUGCAGCCCCCUUUGCCUGGCAAAGCAAUAAAACUAUUCGUU
rnacentral:lncRNA from 1 species